UACGGAGGGGGCUAGCGUUGUUCGGAAUUACUGGGCGUAAAGCGCACGUAGGCGGCUUUGUAAGUUAGAGGUGAAAGCCCAGGGCUCAACCCUGGAAUUGCCUUUAAGACUGCAUCGCUUGAACAUCGGAGAGGUAAGUGGAAUUCCGAGUGUAGAGGUGAAAUUCGUAGAUAUUCGGAAGAACACCAGUGGCGAAGGCGACUUACUGGACGAUUGUUGACGCUGAGGUGCGAAAGCGAGGGGAGCAAACAGG
rnacentral:rRNA from 1 species